UGCCAGCAGCCGCGGUAAUACGGAGGGAGCUAGCGUUGUUCGGAAUUACUGGGCGUAAAGCGCGCGUAGGUGGCUUGGUAAGUUGGAUGUGAAAGCCCCGGGCUCAACCUGGGAACUGCAUCCAAAACUGCCUCGCUAGAGUACGGUAGAGGGUAGUGGAAUUUCCUGUGUAGCGGUGAAAUGCGUAGAUAUAGGAAGGAACACCAGUGGCGAAGGCGACUACCUGGACUGAUACUGACACUGAGGUGCGAAAGCGUGGGGAGCAAACAGGAUUAGAUA
rnacentral:rRNA from 1 species